rnacentral:rRNA from 1 species
AUUGAACGCUGGCGGCAGGCCUAACACAUGCAAGUCGAGCGGAUGAAGGGAGCUUGCUCCUGGAUUCAGCGGCGGACGGGUGAGUAAUGCCUAGGAAUCUGCCUGGAAGUGGGGGAUAACGUCCGGAAACGGGCGCUAAUACCGCAUACGUCCUGAGGGAGAAAGUGGGGGAUCUUCGGACCUCACACUAUCAGAUGAGCCUAGGUCGGAUUAGCUAGUUGGUGGGGUAAAGGCCUACCAAGGCGACGAUCCGUAACUGGUCUGAGAGGAUGAUCAGUCACACUGGAACUGAGACACGGUCCAGACUCCUACGGGAGGCAGCAGUGGGGAAUAUUGGACAAUGGGCGAAAGCCUGAUCCAGCCAUGCCGCGUGUGUGAAGAAGGUCUUCGGAUUGUAAAGCACUUUAAGUUGGGAGGAAGGGCAGUAAGUUAAUACCUUGCUGUUUUGACGUUACCAACAGAAUAAGCACCGGCUAACUUCGUG